UACGUAGGUGGCAAGCGUUAUCCGGAAUUAUUGGGCGUAAAGCGCGCGCAGGCGGUUUCUUAAGUCUGAUGUGAAAGCCCACGGCUCAACCGUGGAGGGUCAUUGGAAACUGGGGAACUUGAGUGCAGAAGAGAAAAGCGGAAUUCCACGUGUAGCGGUGAAAUGCGUAGAGAUGUGGAGGAACACCGGUGGCGAAGGCGGCGACCUGGGUUGACACUGACGCUGAGGCGCGAAAGCGUGGGGAGCAAACAGG
rnacentral:rRNA from 1 species